UACGAAGGGGGCUAGCGUUGCUCGGAAUGACUGGGCGUAAAGGGCGCGUAGGCGGUUUGGACAGUCAGGCGUGAAAUUCCCGGGCUUAACCUGGGGGCUGCGCUUGAUACAUCCAGACUUGAGUGGGGAAGAGGGUCGUGGAAUUCCCAGUGUAGAGGUGAAAUUCGUAGAUAUUGGGAAGAACACCGGUGGCGAAGGCGGCGACCUGGUCCUUUACUGACGCUGAGGCGCGACAGCGUGGGGAGCAAACAGG
rnacentral:rRNA from 1 species